rnacentral:rRNA from 1 species
AUUGAACGCUGGCGGCAGGCCUAACACAUGCAAGUCGAACGGUAACAGGAAGCAGCUUGCUGCUUCGCUGACGAGUGGCGGACGGGUGAGUAAUGUCUGGGAAACUGCCUGAUGGAGGGGGAUAACUACUGGAAACGGUAGCUAAUACCGCAUAACGUCGCAAGACCAAAGAGGGGGACCUUAGGGCCUCUUGCCAUCGGAUGGGCCCAGAUGGGAUUAGCUAGUAGGUGGGGUAACGGCUCACCUAGGCGACGAUCCCUAGCUGGUCUGAGAGGAUGACCAGCCACACUGGAACUGAGACACGGUCCAGACUCCUACGGGAGGCAGCAGUGGGGAAUAUUGCACAAUGGGCGCAAGCCUGAUGCAGCCAUGCCGCGUGUAUGAAGAAGGCCUUCGGGUUGUAAAGUACUUUCAGCGGGGAGGAAGGGAGUAAAGUUAAUACCUUUGCUCAUUGACGUUACCCGCAGAAGAAGCACCGGCUAACUCCGU